rnacentral:rRNA from 1 species
CAAUAGCGUAUAUUUAAGUUGUUGCAGUUAAAAAGCUCGUAGUUGGAUUUCGGUUAAGAGCGACCGGUCCGCCGUUUGGUGUGCACUGGUUGGUUUUAACUUCCUGUAGAGGACGUGCUCUGGGUUUAACGACCUGGACUCGGAGUCUACGUGGUUACUUUGAAAAAAUUAGAGUGUUCAAAGCGGGCUUACGCUUGAAUAUUUCAGCAUGGAAUAACACUAUAGGACUCCUGUCCUAUUUCGUUGGUCUCGGGACGGGAGUAAUGAUUAAGAGGAACAGUUGGGGGCAUUCGUAUUUCAUUGUCAGAGGUGAAAUUCUUGGAUUUAUGGAAGACGAACUUCUGCGAANGNAUUUGCNAAGGAUGUUUNCAUUA